rnacentral:rRNA from 1 species
UACGUAGGGUGCGAGCGUUGUCCGGAAUUAUUGGGCGUAAAGAGCGUGUAGGCGGCCCGGUAAGUCCGCUGUGAAAGUCCAGGGCUCAACCCUGGGAUGCCGGUGGAUACUGUCGGGCUCGAGUCCGGAAGAGGAGUGUGGAAUUCCUGGUGUAGCGGUGAAAUGCGCAGAUAUCAGGAGGAACACCAAUGGCGAAGGCGGCUCACUGGCCCGGUACUGACGCUGAGGUGCGAAAGCGUGGGGAGCAAACAGG